CCUACGGGAGGCAGCAGUGAGGAAUAUUGGUCAAUGGACGAGAGUCUGAACCAGCCAAGUAGCGUGAAGGAUGACUGCCCUAUGGGUUGUAAACUUCUUUUAUAUGGGAAUAAAAUGUUCCACGUGUGGGAUUUUGUAUGUACCAUAUGAAUAAGGAUCGGCUAACUCCGUGCCAGCAGCCGCGGUAAUACGGAGGAUCCGAGCGUUAUCCGGAUUUAUUGGGUGUAAAGGGAGCGUAGGUGGAUUGUUAAGGAAGUUGUGAAAGUUUGCGGCUCAACCGUAAAAUUGCAGUUGAAACUGGCAGUCUUGAGUACAGUAGAGGUGGGCGGAAUUCGUGGUGUAGCGGUGAAAUGCUUAGAUAUCACGAAGAACUCCGAUUGCGAAGGCAGUUCACUGGACUGCAACUGACACUGAGGCUCGAAAGUGUGGGUAUCAAACAGGAUUAGAUACCCUAGUAGUC
rnacentral:rRNA from 1 species